GAGGAAAAUAAGACCCAUAACCAUUCUCGUUUUGCCAGGAAAUCAUUAGAGAAUUAUCAUAUCAUCAUCAGCAAGAAUAUCAUCAUCAGCAAGUUGUGCAAAAAUAUCAUCAGCAGCAAGUUUUGCAACCAUAUCAUCAGUUUUUGGAAAGCCUAUUUCUGAAUUUACAGUCACUUUGCCAUAUUCAUUGGAAAGUCUGUUUCUUUGCCAUCCCUGAAGAUAAGGAGUAGCUGUCAGUAAUGCUCUUUCUACAUCUGUUGACCUGUUGUUUGAUCAAAGUGAUUGCAUAAAUAUUCAUAAGCUCUGCCACACAUGGCAAUGUGAGAAGGGCCUUGCUUCGCAAUCCGAACUGAUGAUUUCAUUGUUAAGGAAUUCCAGAGGAAGCCUAACCCGUUUUCGAUCUACAGAACACGUAGGGUCUUCUCAGUUUUUGCUGAUGUUAUGCAAUUGCAUAUUUGUUUCCAAUGGUUUAUAGGAAUGCGAUGAGCGGUUGUAAGAACCUGUUAGGAAGUUGGGUAUCUUUGCUUAUGUUUGAAAAUAACAAUGUCAAGGUCUGAAUGAGCUUUUACAAAAAUCUCUACCAU
rnacentral:misc_RNA from 1 species